rnacentral:rRNA from 1 species
UACGAAGGGGGCUAGCGUUGCUCGGAAUCACUGGGCGUAAAGCGCACGUAGGCGGCUUUCUAAGUCAGGGGUGAAAUCCUGGAGCUCAACUCCAGAACUGCCUUUGAUACUGGAGAGCUCGAGUCCGGAAGAGGUGAGUGGAACUCCGAGUGUAGAGGUGAAAUUCGUAGAUAUUCGCAAGAACACCAGUGGCGAAGGCGGCUGACUGGUCCGGUUCUGACGCUGAGGCGCGAAAGCGUGGGGAGCAAACAGG